rnacentral:lncRNA from 1 species
GCUCUGUUUACCGCGGGCCCGCCCUCCUCCCCAGCCCGCGCCCUGACAUCAUUCAUUCUCGCACUCUCGCCAGCCCUCUCCUGCUCCCAGCCGUGACUCACCCCGGGCCCGAGGCUCCCGCGGGCUCCCGCGACUCCCGGCGACCGAGUCUCUCCGGACGCCUAGCCGAGCUCGAAAAACCGGUGCGACUUCUUCGGGGAGGCGAUCCCAGCUGGCCGACCGACCCUCCCUCCCCUCUGCGGCCCUACAAGAUGCGGCGAAGGAGGGGCUUGGCAGGCAGCACGAGGUGGCUCCCGGCCGCAGGCUGAGCGCAGAGCCGGGCAGACCUCCCUGAACGCGGGCGGGGAUCAAUCUGGGAAAGUUCUCUAGGUGCCGCUCCCAGCAACUUUCAGGGGUGGGGCAGGGAAGGGAUAAGCCACCUCCGCACCUCCUCGGGUUUCGGAAACUGCUUCCUAAUAACGACGUGUGCGGGCCAGGGGCACCCGCUGACUCAAGGGGUGGUGCCCCGCCUAGGUCGAGGGGGUAGGUUUCCAAACAUCACAAGACCGCUUGGCGAGGUGAAUUGCGUCCUGGCAAGGAUGAGAAACCGGAACCAGAAUGACUCUGAAAGAGUGACUCUCCACUUAAAUGAACCUGUUAGACUUCAUUGUGGGGAGCGCACUUGUUUUCAAGUUACAGAAAGGAAAAUAAAACUGGGAGUGCUGAAACACUCCCAUAAUUCUCGCUUUUGGGAGCCAGAGUCAGGAGCAUCGGGAGUUCAAGACUGCUCUCCUCCAUAUAGGGACCUCAGGUCAAUCUGAGCUACAUAAGACCCUGCCUGACUCCAAAACUCUCAAACAAACAAAAGACAAACAGGGAUCCAAUGCCCUCUUCUGGCUUCUAUGGGCCCUGCAUACACAGGAUGCACGAAAACACCUAUAGCAUAAAAAUAAAAACUUAACCCUGGAAGCAUUUCUUGGCAAUGAACCGUGGCGAAUACAGAGACUCAUGGCUGCUCACAAAACACAGCGCAGGGGGAAGACGACACCCAGAGCACCACCCACAGUCAUGCCAGGCACGGUGCCAGAAGAAAUGGGAACAUACAGAGCUAAUGGGG